CUCUGUCACAAUACCCACGAUAGAGUCAUUAAAAAAAAAAAACUCUGUUCUACAUUGUAAUUAUACAUUGUAUUUGCAUCUUGCAUAUUAAGGACCAACACUAUUAUUUCAACACUGUUUGAGUUUUCAUUUUAUUCUGUACUUAUCGUACUCGUGUUGCAUACCAAUGGAUUUACUUCAUUUUAUUCGGACAACAAAACAUAGCUUAGAAAGCAAAAUAUAUUUCAUGUAGGUAGUCCAACUGAAGAGAGCAUUUCCUCACAUUUCUGCUGUUUACUAUAAAAUAGGUUUCUAAAGCGGCAAUUACAUGUAGAACAGUGGUGGCUAAUCAGAGAUAUAUAUACUUGAAUACGAAUUUGAAAAAGCGGCACCAUCAAAUGGAGUAAAUGUGUCUCAAUAUUGAUACGUUACUAUAGAGCUAGCUCAAAGUACAUGUACGCUGAUUUUGUUGAACGAGGAAUACUGCUUUCUCAAAAGUUGCUAAGACAGGGCUAUGAAUCAUCAAAUUAAGGUCAUCACUCAACUGUAUGGUUGUCAUCAUGAGCUGAUUGGCCAUUAUGACAAAAGUGUGUCAGAAAUCAUAUCUCAGUGAUAUUCUUCCUCAGUCAUAACAACCUUCCAUCUUUACCGAACUGAACAAACAAAUAACAUGACGGGUGCCGUAUACGGUACAGGAAAUGCUUACCUUUCCGGAGCACCUGAUUUCAUUCCUGGUUUUUAGUGGAGUUUGUGUUGUUUCCUACUUAUUAUUUGUAACUGUUGGUGCAAAUGUCUUUUGGUUUUAUGAGUCUUUGGUUACUCCUUGGUUUUGAUUGUUAUUGUCUUAUACACGAUACCUAAUGGAUGUAUUUACAUGAUAGAAGCUUAUUAUUACACUUGCAUAUAUGAUCGAAUAACACGUGACAAGAAGAUUUCAUAUGAAAUAAAUUUUAAAAAAUAAAAUCCUCCCACCCGCCCCAUUUUUU
rnacentral:lncRNA from 1 species